AGCUUCCACCCCCUAAAUUAGGCAAAUAGAUAAAAAAUACUUAACUAAAAGUAGAAAUCGUAGAAAGAUGUUGACAGAUUUUUUUUCCUGAGCACCUGGGGUUAAAAGAAGGUAAUUUAAAGCAACUGUUUUCAUUCCAAAUCUGCUAGACAGAGCCAAGGUGGGUGUCUUGCCCGCCCCCGCCCAACAUAAAUCCUGGCUACGCCUAUGUUAAAGUGAGGUGUUAGGGGGAGGGGAUAGUACUGUAUUUUCCAGUGUAUAAGACGACCCCAUGUAUAAGACGACCCCUACUUUUUUAAACCCAAAAUUUAGAAAUCAGUUUUUUGGUGCAGCAAAUGACCUCAAAGUUUUUUGGGGGUGAACAAACUGCAAAUCGCUCCUGUGAGUUCAGCAUCUGCGUAUAAGACAACCCCCAAUUUUGGGAUACAAAAAUUGAGCAAAAAAACCCUCCUGGGGCUGUUUGACCAUCUUUGGUCUCCACCCUGCACUCAGCUCUCAUCUGUGGCUCCGAGAAGCUGUCAGCAUGCAACAGAAGCCAUGCUCUGGGAGACAGCUUUGACCAGCUGGCUAAACCAGAGUGGCCUUGUCCAAAUUGUAGUACGUGCAGGAGGAGCUGCAGAGUCCAUGCAAUUAAAAUGAAUAAUCUGAAAAGAAUAUCCUGUGGGUCAGAAGGAGGCAGAUCUUUUUUUCUUUUUUUAAAAAAGGGGGAGGACGACAACAUUCAUUUCACACAAUGGGCUUUGCGCGCAAACAGAUUCAGAUGACUGCUCGGUAGACAGGGCCACCUGGAAGGACCUCCUGGCUCACCAUUUUGAGCUCCCCACAACUCCACAUCUGCCCUGCAUUGGAAGAGUGAGCUGAUUGGGAUUGGCGAAAUAAAAGAACACAGGGCUCCUUUGGGGCUUGCAAGCCUCCUCAAAUGCAUAGGGUUCCCCCACCCUAUCCUACAGUCAAAGCGGCUUACAACAGAAAUCAUAAAAGCAAAACAAUAUUUUUUAAAUGA